rnacentral:rRNA from 1 species
GACGAACGCUGGCGGCGUGCUUAACACAUGCAAGUCGAACGGUGAAGGGAUCAGCUUGCUGGUUCUGGAUGAGUGGCGAACGGGUGAGUAACACGUGAGUAACCUGCCCCCUUCUUCUGGAUAACCGCAUGAAAGUGUGGCUAAUACGGGAUAUUCUGCGCCUGCUGCAUGGUGGGUGUGGGAAAGAUAUUGUUUCGGUGGGGGAUGGGCUCGCGGCCUAUCAGCUUGUUGGUGGGGUGAUGGCCUACCAAGGCGGUGACGGGUAGCCGGCCUGAGAGGGUGGACGGUCACACUGGGACUGAGACACGGCCCAGACUCCUACGGGAGGCAGCAGUGGGGAAUAUUGCACAAUGGGCGCAAGCCUGAUGCAGCGACGCCGCGUGAGGGAUGGAGACCUUCGGGUUGUGAACCUCUUUCGCCAGUGAAGCAGGCCUGUCCCUUGUGGGUGGGUUGACGGUAGCUGGAUAAGAAGCGCCGGCUAACUACGUG